UGGCCGGCUGCUGGGGAUCGGGUUCGGACUCCUGCUCUCGCCUGUGACUCCCUAAAACACAACCAGUUAGUCUACCAAAGAGUAUAUAAAAUGUGUAUAAAUUAAGCUACAAACUGAAGUAACGAAAGAGUUCCGUGAACUCAAGAUAUACUAUUGGUGAGAUGACCUGUUCUCUGGAAAAGUCACUCCAGGACUGACAGAGGGCUCCAGAUUGACAGAGGGCUCACCAUCUUGUAGCUGUAUCACCCAGAACACAGCAACUGACUCUCUGUGGCAGAGGAAGAAAGGGCUCACAGAAGAUGAUGGGGUGACCAGGAUUGCUGACACAAAAAAACAGAGAGGACAGAAAGAGGU